CAUUCUCUUUCUCCCAGUGGGGCCGCAGAUGACAACACCUGUGUGGGCAGAACUCCCUGCGGCGUCCAGGUAACCAUCCUCCUCUCUUCUCUCUCCCUCUCCCGCUCUCUCCGUCUCUCCCUCAAUCUCCAGCUUUCGUGCGACUCUACCCUGUUAUUACCGCAGCUCUCCCUCUCCAUCUUGGUGCGGCUCAUCUCCCAUUACCGCUGGUGAGAGCUCUCCCUCUCAUCUUCCGGAUGUCCACACACCGCCGCUUUACCGACCCCACUUUUUGGCCGCCACUGCAAAGCUACAUUCCAAUGCUACUCCUCUUCAUCUACUGAACAUGUGUCAUUUAUCAAAGAUGUAGCUGCAACUCAACAACCGGAGCAUUUGCCUCAUCGUUUGAAAAUGCUUCAGGUGAGAAGUAAGGUUGAGAAUCUUGUUGAAAGAAUGGUAAAAUGGUUGAAGGUUGGUGGAUUUAUAUUCUUCAGAGAAUCAUGUUUCCAUCAAUCUGGAGAUUGUAAGCGAAAGAACAACCUAACCCAUUACCGGGAGCCUAGAUAUUAUACAAAGGUUCUGGUGCUAGCCCAAAUGCAGCUGUUGCUGCUCAGUUUGUGAGAGCUGAAAUGCUUCCAAGUGGCUAUUUUAUUCGGGCAUGCAAAGGUGGAGGGUAAUUGUCGAUAAAGUUGAUAUGUUAGUUUGGAUCAGCUACCAAGCAAGUUGAUAUGUUAAAUCAUUAAAGAAGGCGAAAGGCUUCAAGUUUUGUGUCAUGUUAGACUUCGAAGAGGAUAUAGCUUUUGAGAAGACAUGCUUACUAAAUUCAAUUUGACUUGAAUAUGCCCUGUGAUGCACUAGAGUUACAUAUUUUCAUCUUUAUUUUAAAUGGAAUUUAAUUAUUGUUUGAUGAUUUAGUUAAGUUAUAAGAAAGGAAAUUUUUUAAUUAUUGUU